UUUGCUCUUCUUUUCUUCACAGUCUUAGGGCUCACAAAGGGCUUCGUACAAGGACUAACGUUACGUUCCUCAGUACAGAAUGAAGUCACGCUGGAUUACACAACACUCUUAAAUCCAGUUCUGGCACAGCUUGUCUUCCAGAGAUCAGAGACUGAAGAGACUUGGAGUUCCAACUUCAUUUUGGCCAAACCCAGUAGAGGACUGAGGUGGCUCAAGGGUAGUGCUUGGAGGCUCUGCUCACCAUUUGCUCCAAGGGUGCAACCAGCUGCCUCUCUGCCCCAGGUAGGAUGAGGGCCAGGUGACUGAAUCAGCAUUAGCUCAAUCUUUUCUUUGGCCAUCUGUGAAAAUAACAGUAUAUAACAUGUAAAUAGAGCUUGUUUUCACAGUGCUGGAGCAGCUGCAUGUCCCCAUUGCAGCAUGGCUGAUGCUUGGGCCUACUGAGCGCUUGAGGGGAUUUGUGCCUGGGGAGAGCAUCCCCAUGUCACUAUGGAGGCAGCCAUUGUAGAGGUGUGGAGAGACCACACCUCCAAGCUCCAAGGACUUUCCACAGUCAGUUUUUGUCCCUCUCAGUCCUAAUCCUGAUGCCAUUGGCACGCUUCUGACCUGAGGAUAGAGGCAAGACUAUCUCCCCAGUGGGGGGCAGCUGCUCCAGAAAUGAAGGUAAGGGAACAAAAUGGGAUUUUUUGCCUCCUACUGCUGGCUCUGCUGUGAAGCUACAGCAUAACACACAAAGUCACUCAGGCUCUGAGCAUUUCAGCCAUCCGCACUGUGGAAACCAAAUAUGUCUCCAGGAAGAGGCUGGCAUUUGCUGAUAACCAGCCCUGGGCCACCUUUCUGAUGAAACCUUUUUUUUUUUUCUUCUAAUAAUUCCACAUUUAGGCUGCAGGGACUUACAGACAAGUUGACUAGCUGAGGAAGCAGUUCAUUCUCACUUUGUUUCUCCUCAGGAACUAUCAAAACAUGUUACAGAGAGCUUUAAAUACCUGAUCCCAAACUCACCUUUUCGGCUUUCCUAAGGCCUGAGGCUCCAGCCUUUAUGGCUGCAGGCUGCCAUGUGUAGUUUUGUGCCUCAGGACAAGUUAUUACAGAGCACUCCUAUGCCUUUGCAGACACAAAAGCUUCCCGCGCACAGGGAUGUGGCUCCUUCCUCAUGGAGGAGGUGACAAAUGCCUCCAGGUAAACCUGAAGUAUAAUUCAUGUGUCCAUGUAAGAUUAAAAUGUUCUGUACGAUGCCUUUGUUGGCAGUAGGAGAUCGAGGAAUCCCUAUGUGCGUGCACUGUGUAUUUAGCAAUAUAUAACCAACAGGGGGCAUUAGGUUUAUGCUGAUUAAAUGUGUAUUUCUACUUGGAGCAGAGAGAAAUACCUACCUUGCUUGAUUGAAAACAGCAAGACUGGAAUCUUUUAUCCUGCAAAUAAGUAGGAUUGGGGCCUGUUUUUUUUCCAGAAUAUUUAUAAUUAGAAAAUGUAUAAGUUUCUUGUAUUUCCUUUGUCUAGCUUGUGUUUAUCUUGAGAUGAAAAUGAAUGAGAUUGAUAUAAUUAAAGAUCCAGAUGAUUUCUGUGUGGCACGUAGCUCAAAAACCAUUUGAAAAAUCUAAGCGUUUCUGGUGCAAAUUGAUUUGUAUUGAUGGUUUCCAGUUUUCUAAGCAGGAAUUAAAGUUGGGUAGCAAUUCCAUUUUUCUGACAGGAAUCAGAUGGAGCAGUAGAAUUAGCUGCUGCUCCUCAUUAUGGUAGAAAACUUUGCUCAAGUUAUUGGAUUACUGAAUGCAAAGGACUGUAGUGAGGAGCCACGGUGUGGAUGUGAAUUGUGGUCUCUGGAAAUGAAAGCAGUAUUUAUUACAGAGGUAAUUACGAUGGCUACAAUCACUCCUGUACGUGGGACGCUUCACAUACAUUCUGAGGGAGAUGUGGUUUUUGAUGUUUAUGGCACCAAUGAAAGAAGCAGCUUUUCCCUCUUCACAUUUUAAAAACUGCAGCCUUCUCUGUGCUGCUGCCACACUCACGUGGUUACAUACACCUUUAAGUGAAGGGCUUUCUACUGUCUAUGGUUAAAUCAAGCUGGAUUUGAAAAUGUUAAUGCUGAGAACUGCUUUCAUAAAGAUAUGUCCGAAUGAACUGCUGGCUAAAAAUCUGCCGAUGCUGUAAGUUUUGAGAAGUUGAUUUCAUUACCUGCCUUCCUUUAAAAUGGGUUUUAAAUAACCUAAUGGCUUUAAUUUCCUCCAUAGUGAAGUAGCAGUUAUGAUUUUUUGGAAGUGAAGUAAACAAAUGAGCAACCUACAGCAGCAGCAGAGCUUUUGCUUGCUGGUGUAUCUAGGAUGCUGUGAGCAUUUCUG